rnacentral:rRNA from 1 species
GGAAAGAUGAAUCAAAGAAGGUAAUAAUCCUGUAGUCGAAAAUGUUGUCUCUCUUGAGUGGAUCCUGAGUACGACGGAGCACGUGAAAUUCCGUCGGAAUCUGGGAGGACCAUCUCCUAAGGCUAAAUACUCUCUAGUGACCGAUAGCGAACCAGUACCGUGAGGGAAAGGUGAAAAGCACCCCGGAAGGGGAGUGAAAUAGAACCUGAAACCGUGUGCUUACAAGUAGUCAGAGCCCGUUAAUGGGUGAUAGCGUGCCUUUUGUAGAAUGAACCGGCGAGUUACGAUUUGAUGCAAGGUUAAGCAGUAAAUGUGGAGCCGUAGCGAAAGCGAGUCUGAAUAGGGCGUUUAGUAUUUGGUCGUAGACCCGAAACCAGGUGAUCUACCCUUGGUCAGGUUGAAGUUCAGGUAACACUGAAUGGAGGACCGAACCGACUUACGUUGAAAAGUGAGCGGAUGAACUGAGGGUAGCGGAGAAAUUCCAAUCGAACCUGGAGAUAGCUGGUUCUCUCCGAAAUAGCUUUAGGGCUAGCCUCAAGUGAUGAUUAUUGGAGGUAGAGCACUGUUUGGACGAGGGGCCCCUCUCGGGUUACCGAAUUCAGACAAACUCCGAAUGCCAAUUAAUUUAACUUGGGAGUCAGAACAUGGGUGAUAAGGUCCGUGUUCGAAAGGGAAACAGCCCAGACCACCAGCUAAGGUCCCAAAAUAUAUGUUAAGUGGAAAAGGAUGUGGCGUUGCCCAGACAACUAGGAUGUUGGCUUAGAAGCAGCCAUCAUUUAAAGAGUGCGUAAUAGCUCACUAGUCGAGUGACACUGCGCCGAAAAUGUACCGGGGCUAAACAUAUUACCGAAGCUGUGGAUUGUCCUUUGGACAAUGGUAGGAGAGCGUUCUAAGGGCGUUGAAGCAUGAUCGUAAGGACAUGUGGAGCGCUUAGAAGUGAGAAUGCCGGUGUGAGUAGCGAAAGACGGGUGAGAAUCCCGUCCACCGAUUGACUAAGGUUUCCAGAGGAAGGCUCGUCCGCUCUGGGUUAGUCGGGUCCUAAGCUGAGGCCGACAGGCGUAGGCGAUGGAUAACAGGUUGAUAUUCCUGUACCACCUAUAAUCGUUUUAAUCGAUGGGGGGACGCAGUAGGAUAGGCGAAGCGUGCGAUUGGAUUGCACGUCUAAGCAGUAAGGCUGAGUAUUAGGCAAAUCCGGUACUCAUUAAGGCUGAGCUGUGAUGGGGAGAAGACAUUGUGUCUUCGAGUCGUUGAUUUCACACUGCCGAGAAAAGCCUCUAGAUAGAAAAUAGGUGCCCGUACCGCAAACCGACACAGGUAGUCAAGAUGAGAAUUCUAAGGUGAGCGAGCGAACUCUCGUUAAGGAACUCGGCAAAAUGACCCCGUAACUUCGGGAGAAGGGGUGCUCUUUAGGGUUAACGCCCAGAAGAGCCGCAGUGAAUAGGCCCAAGCGACUGUUUAUCAAAAACACAGGUCUCUGCUAAACCGUAAGGUGAUGUAUAGGGGCUGACGCCUGCCCGGUGCUGGAAGGUUAAGAGGAGUGGUUAGCUUCUGCGAAGCUACGAAUCGAAGCCCCAGUAAACGGCGGCCGUAACUAUAACGGUCCUAAGGUAGCGAAAUUCCUUGUCGGGUAAGUUCCGACCCGCACGAAAGGCGUAACGAUUUGGGCACUGUCUCAACGAGAGACUCGGUGAAAUCAUAGUACCUGUGAAGAUGCAGGUUACCCGCGACAGGACGGAAAGACCCCGUGGAGCUUUACUGUAGCCUGAUAUUGAAAUUCGGCACAGCUUGUACAGGAUAGGUAGGAGCCUUUGAAACGUGAGCGCUAGCUUACGUGGAGGCGCUGGUGGGAUACUACCCUAGCUGUGUUGGCUUUCUAACCCGCACCACUUAUCGUGGUGGGAGACAGUGUCAGGCGGGCAGUUUGACUGGGGCGGUCGCCUCCUAAAAGGUAACGGAGGCGCUCAAAGGUUCCCUCAGAAUGGUUGGAAAUCAUUCAUAGAGUGUAAAGGCAUAAGGGAGCUUGACUGCGAGACCUACAAG